rnacentral:rRNA from 1 species
UACGUAGGGUGCAAGCGUUGUCCGGAAUUAUUGGGCGUAAAGAGCUCGUAGGCGGUCUGUCACGUCGGAUGUGAAAACUCGGGGCUCAACCCCGAGCCUGCAUACGAUACGGGCAGACUUGAGUUCGGCAGGGGAGACUGGAAUUCCUGGUGUAGCGGUGAAAUGCGCAGAUAUCAGGAGGAACACCGGUGGCGAAGGCGGGUCUCUGGGCCAUAACUGACGCUGAGAAGCGAAAGCAUGGGGAGCGAACAGG